UGGGGAAUAUUGCACAAUGGGCGCAAGCCUGAUGCAGCCAUGCCGCGUGUGUGAAGAAGGCCUUCGGGUUGUAAAGCACUUUCAGCGAGGAGGAAGGUGGUGAACUUAAUACGUUCAUCAAUUGACGUUACUCGCAGAAGAAGCACCGGCUAACUCCGUGCCAGCAGCCGCGGUAAUACGGAGGGUGCAAGCGUUAAUCGGAAUUACUGGGCGUAAAGCGCACGCAGGCGGUUUGUUAAGUCAGAUGUGAAAUCCCCGGGCUCAACCUGGGAACUGCAUUUGAAACUGGCAAGCUAGGAGUCUCGUAGAGGGGGGUAGAAAUUCCAGGUGUAGCGGUGAAAUGCGUAGAGAUCUGGAGGAAUACCGGUGGCGAAGGCGGCCCCCUGGACGAAGACUGACGCUCAGGUGCGAAAGCGUGGGGAGCAAACAGAUUAGAUACCCUGGUAGUCCACGCUGUAAAACGAUGUC
rnacentral:rRNA from 1 species